ACAAACUAAACCUAACCUGCCAGCCGCAUAAAGAGCCUCUUAUCUUGGUCUAUCACAAGAACGGGUUUGAUAUGUGAUAGCAGCCCCUUUUUUUUAUUUCUUACCUCUGAUCUCUCUGUCUCCGAAAGCAUAGAUGUUGAAAAUUUUCGAGAUUGAAGAUAACAGCCGCCGCGAUCUGCAGGUGUGGAGAGACGCUGCUUCCGGAAUUGUUGUUUUACGACCGGGAUCGAGAGAGAUUGUGCGGUGUGCUUGUUUGAAUCUCUCUGUGUCUAUCUUCUUGAUGUUUUCGAGGGGAGCAGAGAUGUCAAGUUUUUGGAGAUUGAAGAUAAACAGCCGCCGCGAUCUGCAGGUGUGGAGAGACGCUGCUUCCUGAAUUGUUAUUUUACGACCAGUAUCGGGAGAGAUUAUGUACUUUGUUGGUUAGAAUCUCUCUGUCUAUCUUCUUGAUGUUUUCUAGGGAGCAGAGAUGUCGAAUUUUUGAAGGUGUGUAGAGACGCUGCGUCCGGAAUUGUUAUUUAUCGACCGGGAUCGGGAGCGAUUGUGCAGUUGGUUUGUUGGCUUGAAUCUCUCUGUCUAUUUAUUUUUGGAGAUUAAACCGAUCUGCUGGUUUGGAGAGACGCUGCUUCCGGAAUUGUUGAUUUACGACUGGGAUCAAAAAAGAUUGUGCCGUUUGUUGGUAUGAAUCUCUCUGUCUAUCUUGAUGUUUUCGAGGGGAGCAGAGAUGUCGAAUUUUUGAAGGUGUGGCGAGACGCUGCUUCCGGAAUUGAUCUGCAGGAUCGAGAGAGAUUGUGCAGUUUGUUGGUUUGAAUCUCUCUCUGUGAUGUCGAAUUUUGGGAGGUGUAAAGAGACGCUGCUUCCGGAUUCUUAUUUUACGAGAGUGAUUGUGCGGUUUGUUGGUUUGAAUCUCUCUGUGUCUAUCAUCUUGAUGUUUGGAGCAGAGAUGUCGUUUGUUUGGUGGUGUGGAGAGACGCGGCUUCCGGAAUUCUUAUUUUACUGGAUCGAGAGUUAUUGUGCGGUUUGUUGGUUUGAAUCUCUCUGUCUAUCUUCUUGAUGUUUUCGAGGGCCAAAGAUGGCGAAUUUUCGGAGAUUGAAGAUAAACAGCCGCCGCGAUCUGCAGGUGUCAAGAGGCGCAAGUGCCGCCAAAUUCAUGAAUAAGGACUUCUGCCACCACCGCAACUGCCGCAUCACCACAUCUGCCGCUGCAACCCCCGCCACAAAAGCGACCGCCACCCACCACCACCACUUGAGGAUGAAACUUUGGGCUCUUACUGCACAUAGCCACCCAAGGGCCGGCACAGCCGCCAUCUCUCCACUGUAAAACCUCCCAAUACCCACAUUGUGAAAAAACACCAAACCCACCCACAUUGUGAAAAAACACCAAACCCAUCCAAACCUAUCUCUCAAACGUAAAUUCCAAGGCCCAAAACCUACCCAAAAAUCCGUAGACACAUUCUACAAAAACACUAAACCCACCCAACAACCCAUACCCACAUUCUACAAAAACACUAAACUCACCCAGAAAACCCCAAUGCCCAAAACCAUACCCACAUUCUACAAAAACACUAAACUCACCCAGAAAACCCAAUGCCCAAAAC